rnacentral:rRNA from 1 species
AUUGAACGCUGGCGGCAGGUCUAACACAUGCAAGUCGAGCGAGAGGCCGACGGGUGAGUAAUGUAAGGGGACUGCCCGAUAGAGGGGGAUAACUACUGGAAACGGUGGCUAAUACCGCAAACUAUCGGAUAACCCAUACGGGAUUAGCUAGUAGGUAAGGUAAUGGCUUACCUAGGCGACGAUCCCUAGCUGGUCUGAGAGGAUGAUCAGCUAGACAGGGACUGAGACACGGCCAGUGCACCUAGGGAUAAAGCAGUGGGGGGUAUUUCACGAUGAGCGCAUGCCGGAUGCAACCGUGCCGCGUGUAUGAAGAUGGCCCUAAGGUUGUGAAGUUCUUUCAUUCGGGAGACGUAACCGACCGAAGAAGUAGUGGCUAACUCCGUGCCAGCAGCCGCGGUAAUAC